rnacentral:misc_RNA from 1 species
UUUCUUUUAAUAUACUUCUCUAAAUAUAGUUCUCAAAUUUCAAGGUAGUCAAAAGCGCUCACCAAAGUGCAAAAUCACGACGACAAAUAUUACAUAUGCUAAGUGAAGAGUAUUUAGUGAAGCGAUGGCUUUUUGCACUUGAAGCGCAAAAAAAGCACAAAGCACAAAGAGGCCAACACUGGAAGAUGAUGAGACAGAAUUAGAUGAAGAUUUUGAUGGAAAUGAAUAUUAUUUUAGAUAUGGGGAUGAAAGCGUUGAGGAUUUUGAUGGGAAAUCUAG